GUCCACGCCCUAAACGAUGUCAACUAGGUGUCGGGAGCGCAAGUUCUUGGUACCGCAGCUAACGCGUGAAGUUGACCGCCUGGGGAGUACGGUCGCAAGAUUAAAACUCAAAGGAAUUGACGGGGACCCGCACAAGCGGUGGAUGAUGUGGAUUAAUUCGAUGCAACGCGAACAACCUUACCUACCCUUGACAUGUCUGGAAGGCUGCUGAAAGGUGGCUGUGCCCGCAAGGGAACCGGAACACAGGUGCUGCAUGGCUGUCGU
rnacentral:rRNA from 1 species